ensembl:lncRNA
GGUAACGUGACGGCCUCUCCACAGUAAGUGACGGCCUCCCCACAGGUAACGUGACGGCCCCCACAGGUAACGUGACGGCCUCCCCACAGGUAACGUGACGCCUCCCCACAGGUAACGUGACGGCCGCUCACCACUAGGUAAACGUGACGAUCUCCCCAACAGGUAACGUGACGGCCUCCCCACAGGUAAACGUGACGGCUCCCCACAGGUAACGGAACGGCUCCCCACAGGUAACCGGGACGGCCUCCCCACAGGUAACGUGACGGCCUCCCCACAGGUAACGGGACGGCCUCCCCACAGGUAACGGGACGGCCUCCCCACAGGUAACGGGACGGCCUCCCCACAGUAACGGGACGGCCUCCCACAGGUAACGGGACGGCCUCCCCACAGGUAACGGA